UAUACACAUUGUUUUUUUAAAAAGAUUGGCACCUGAACUAACAACUGUUGCCAAUCUUCUUUUUUUUUUUUUCUGCUUUAUCUCCCUAAACCUCCCCGUACAUAGCUGUAUAUCUUAGUUGUAGGUCCUUCUAGUUGUGGGAUGUGGGACACCGCCUCAACGUGGCCUGACGAGCGGUGCCAUGUCCACGGCCAGGAUCUGAACCCUGGGCCGCCACAGCAAAGCGUGCGAACUUAACCACUCAGCCACGGAGCCGGCUCCUAGAAAUUGUUUUUUUUUUUUAAUCCAAAGAAUAAGAUCAUAUUUUGGGGGGAAAUUACAGCAGUUCACCUCCCGGCACUCUCCAGCAAAGAAGAAAAUAGAGUUCCUCAAGUUUAAAUUAAUUGCAUGAAAUUUCCAAGGCAGAUUGGGAAGAGGAGAAACUGAUCUUCCUAGCUACACUCAGAUCAGCACAUGGUUCCCACCUCCUUGCCUGGCUGCAGAUGCACACACAGCCAUCCUUGCUUACUGUGUCAGCUCUGGAGAAAGAGAAGGAAGAAGGGAAGAGGAUGCUUUUAUGACUAAAGUAGCCUCGAGUUUCCUUUGCUCCUUAUAGCAGAGUAUAUUGUUAAUUCCCCUCAUAUCUCCUAGGCCUGAUACAUCUAAUCCUACUGCCCAUUGAUAAAAGAAAACUCAAACCAUGUCUACUUUUGCAAAGAUGUAUUUUACAAUUUCUAGAAAAUUCACAGCAGCCAUAAUGCCACAGUGAGUCACCUCUAGGAGCAAUGCUGAUUUCUGUUGCUGGCAUGCUAUUCCAGAAAACGGCUCUGGCUUCUCACUGGCAAGAUAGCAUUCUACACAGAAUCAUUUGUAUCAUUAUGUGGAAAAUUAUAGCCCUAAAAAUUUUCCCCAAACUGUUUCUUUAUUGGAUUCUUCUUCCUAAAAUAAAGACAAAUAAAUAGGUAUCUAAGAGAAUUAGAGGGGCAAGAAGGUGAGGCUUAAUUCCGUAUUGCAUGUGUGUGAUGCUCUGCGUUUUACAGCUCCCGCUUAAACAAGCUUGAAAAUAAAGCCAUGGAUCGAUGGCCUGCAAUGUAUCAUUACUGAGAAUACAACCCUGGGAUUAACUUAACCAGCCAUUCUUCCAUGCAGUGAACAAAGCUUGCCUUGGGGAUCUCAGACAUAUGCUGUGGCCUGGUGUGGCCCCUUCAUACUGCUUGCACCCUAUCCGGGGUGCUGCAUCACCAUGCCUUCUUGGAGAGGGACAAUGGCAGAACCCGAUUACAGGAGGAAGGAAAAUAUGGAGUAAUAGUUCUACAUAGUGUUUUAUGGUUAACUAGUUUUAAUAAUAACGUCAACAACUAUCUAUGAGUGACUACUAUGUACUAGGUACCUCUUAUACAUUAUUUUUGACCCUCAUAUCACCUCUUUAAGUGUUAGCUCCAUUUUUAGAGAUGAAAAAACUUCCAGCCUCCAGGAAGUUAAGUAACAUGUCCAGGAAACAUGCAGCUAAUAUGUGGCUGAAUUUUUAUUUGAACCCAGGCCUCUCUGUCUUCAACAUCCAUUCUCUUUCUCCCAUGUCAAGUCCAUGUUAUGUGGAACAACUAUGGUCUUUAAUGUUCUUGUGCAAGAGUAGCAUUUCAUGGAGUGGCUCAGUCACUUAUUCUUUGGGCGACUCUGAACAAGUCAGUUACCCUCUCUUGAAGUCUGAUUUCUUAUUUGUAAAAUGGGGACAAUAUUAUUACCUAGUGCACAGAGUUAUAAUAAGGAUUAAUGAGUAAAUAUAUGUGAAGUACUUUUGAGAGUGUUGUAAACACACUAAGCAAUAUAUAAAAUUUAGCUAUUAUUGCUAUUGUUGAUAUUGAACAUUAGUGAAAAGAGCUUUCCUGAGAACACUUCAGAAAGGAGUAAACCAUCUGAAUGGUAAACUCCCGGAGGACAGGCAUAUGCUUAUCUGGUAAGAAGAGUGCAAAGGCCUGGGGUCCACACCAUUUAGUGCAAAAGAUAGUUAAUUGGGAUCAAGGUAAAAAGGAAUUUCAAGAAUGAAACUGUCAUCUUCCAGGAAGAGGCCAAGGGUGCCCUGAUGUUUAUUAAAUAUUCUGCUAUACAAAACAGAUCUUGCCUUUGCUUCUGGCAGGAUCUACCAUUAUAGGCCAGAUCUGUUCUGGUUUGUUCUGAACCUAGACAACCAGAGGAGGAAAACAGCAUGGCAGAAUGGCUAGGAGUUGUGGCAAUGAAGUCUCUUGGAGAGCCGACAGAGAAGGAAGAAAAAACAUUCGUACAGUAUCACUUACUUAUAAUAGUUUCCAGCUACUUCUUGAUCUUACUGAAGACGCUUCAACAGCCUGGAAGGAUAUUGCGCUCUGAAAGAAAGCAGAGGUGAUGAGCAAAACAGGAACCUUAUUGUUGCUGGAAUCUCCGAGGUGAAUCUGAUGGCUGGUCCAAAGUAAGAGUUGACAGAGAAAAAAUGCAUUUUCCAUAUGGCACCGAAAUAUUCUUGUUUUAAUGGAUCUUUUUUCUUUUUACUUGCUGGGAAAGAUUUGCCCUGAGCUAACAUCUGUUUCCAGUCUUCCUCCUUUUUUUCCGGCUCUCCCCAAAGCUCCAGUACAUAGUUGUAUAUUCUAGUUGUAAGUCCUGGCUUUUCUACAUGAGCUGCCACCACAGCAUGGCUACUGACAGACCAGUGGUAUGGUUCCAGAACUGAACCCAGGCCCCCAGAGUGGAGCACACUGACCUUUAACCACUAGACUAACACUACUGGCUCCUUAAUGGAUCUUUAAAGUAACCCUGGACACAGAUAAUCAAUGGACUUGCCACUGAGGUCCUAUUUAAACUAAUAGGGACAUCUCUGGAAUUAGAAUUUCUGCAGGUGCCAUUUGCCUAUAUUGUUUUAUUUAACAAUCAUUAAUUGGCUG
ensembl:lncRNA